UCGGUCCUGCUGUGCGCGUGAUGGCGCAUCACCGUUUUGAGCCAACACCCUAUUAAUGGAUGUCAACGACCGGUGCCGAUGCGAUAGGCUGGAGCCAAGGCAAAGGUGUCGGAGCGAUGUCCACCCUGCGAAAGCAGGCUCAACACUACGCGAUCACACGGCAUGGCGGGGUCCCU
rnacentral:other from 1 species